rnacentral:rRNA from 1 species
UGGGGAAUAUUGGACAAUGGGCGAAAGCCUGAUCCAGCCAUGCCGCGUGUGUGAAGAAGGUCUUCGGAUUGUAAAGCACUUUAAGCUGGGAGGAAGGGCAGUAAGUUAAUACCUUGCUGUUUUGACGUUACCGACAGAAUAAGCACCGGCUAACUCUGUGCCAGCAGCCGCGGUAAUACAGAGGGUGCAAGCGUUAAUCGGAAUUACUGGGCGUAAAGCGCGCGUAGGUGGUUUGUUAAGUUGGAUGUGAAAGCCCCGGGCUCAACCUGGGAACUGCAUCCAAAACUGGCAAGCUAGAGUACGGUAGAGGGUGGUGGAAUUUCCUGUGUAGCGGUGAAAUGCGUAGAUAUAGGAAGGAACACCAGUGGCGAAGGCGACCACCUGGACUGAUACUGACACUGAGGUGCGAAAGCGUGGGGAGCAAACA